rnacentral:misc_RNA from 1 species
GUGGGCUUGGAUCAUGGCUGUUUGUCGGCUUUCGAGUUGGCUCAGCUGAAAUACAUGAGUGACCACAUUGAAUACAGUGACGGCUUGACUCGGCGCAAUAAUAUUCUCGCUGAGGACGUCAUAAUUCAGAUAGGCGCUUCUAAUGCUACAAAUCUUAAGCUUUAGACCUCAAAUCAGUCAGGACUACCCGCUGAACUUAA